rnacentral:lncRNA from 1 species
CGUCACCAGGAGGAGCGCACUGGAGCCAAGCCGCAGACGGGACUCCAGACUCCAAAGAGGCCACACCAUGAAGAUUCUCCUGCUGUGUGUGGCACUGCUGCUGACCUGGGACAAUGGCAUGGUCCUGGGAGAGCAGGAGUUCUCUGACAAUGAGCUCCAAGGUCCCCUUACCUGGCUCUCCUAUUCUUCUCUCAAAGCUGUGUCCGGACCCUUUGAAAGUUUGUCAGUCUCCCCUUUGUGUGACAACCAGAGUUCUUACCAAUGUGUCUCCAAGCUGAUUUCCCCCUGGAAACCUUGCUCUACCAGUUUCCUUCUCUGGAAAAGGGCAGCACAGUUCAACAUGAAGUAGUCAACUGAGAGCGUUCUCUCCCUUCCUCCCCAUCUUCUAAUGCUUUUCUGGAAACCCGCCUUUCCUCCCUCCUUCUCUCCUAAUCUCCCGCUCAUAGCUGACCAGUUCUGUGAGAAUUUCAUUAAAAAUAAUAUGAUCUG